UACGGGGGGGGCAAGCGUUGUUCGGAAUUACUGGGCGUAAAGGGUUCGUAGGCGGCCAACUAAGUCAGACGUGAAAUCCCCAGGCUCAACCUGGGAACUGCGUCUGAUACUGGAUGGCUUGAAUUCGGGAGAGGGAUGCAGAAUUCCAGGUGUAGCGGUGAAAUGCGUAGAUAUCUGGAGGAAUACCGGUGGCGAAGGCGGCAUCCUGGACCGACAUUGACGCUGAUGAGCGAAAGCUAGGGGAGCAAACGGG
rnacentral:rRNA from 1 species